rnacentral:rRNA from 1 species
CUGGCUCAGGAUGAACGCUGGCGGCGUGCCUAACACAUGCAAGUCGAGCGGAGAUAAGUGAAGCCUAGCGAUCUAUCUAGCGGCGGAUGGGUGAGUAACACGUGGGUAACCUGCCCUGCACUGGGGAAUAACAGCUGGAAACGGCUGUUAAUGCCGCAUAUGCGCACGGAGCCGCAUGGCUUUGGGCGGAAAGAUUUAUCGGUGCAGGAUGGGCCCGCGCCGGAUUAACUAGUUGGCGGGGUAACGGCCCACCAAGGUGAUGAUCCGUAGCCGACCUGAGAGGGUGACCGGCCACAUUGGGACUGAGACACGGCCCAAACUCCUACGGGAGGCAGCAGUGGGGGAUAUUGCACAAUGGGGGAAACCCUGAUGCAGCGACGCCGCGUGAAGGAUGAAGUAUUUCGGUAUGUAAACUUCUAUCAGCGGGGAAGAAGAUGACGGUACCCGACUAAGAAGCCCCGGCUAACUACGUGCCAGCCGCUGC